CGGGCUGAGUAACACGUAGGAACGUACCCCAAACUGAGGGAUAAGCACCAGAAAUGGUGUCUAAUACCGCAUGUGAUCUUCGGAUUAAAGCUUCGGCGGUUUGGGAACGGCCUGCGCAUGAUUAGCUUGUUGGUGAGGUAAUAGCUCACCAAGGCGACGAUCAUUAGCUGGUCUGAGAGGAUGAUCAGCCAGACUGGGACUGAGAACGGCCCAG
rnacentral:rRNA from 1 species